UACCUUUGAAGCCACUGCCAUGAGGUGGGAAGAGAGUAUAGGUGGUGUUUGAGGAUUGAGGUCACUGCUAUGAGGUGGGAAGAGAAUAUCGGUGGUGUUUGAGGAUUGAGGUCACUCAUGAUGUGGGAAGAGAGUAUAGGUGGUGUUUGAGGAUUGAGGUCACUCAUGAGGUGGGAAGAGAGUAUAGGUGGUGUUUGAGGAUUGAGGUCACUCAUGAGGUGGGAAGAGAGUAUAGGUGUUGUUUGAGGAUUAAGGUCACUCAUGAGGUGGGAAGAGAGUAUAGGUAGUGUUUGAGGAUUGAGGUCACUAUUAUGAGGUUGGAAGAGAGUAUAGGUGGUGUUUGAGGAUUGAGGUCACUCAUGAGGUGGGAAGAGAGUAUAGGUGUUGUUUGAGGAUUGAGGUCACUGCCAUGAGGUGGGAAGAGAGUAUAGGUAGUGUUUGAGGAUUGAGGUCACUAUUAUGAGGUUGGAAGAGAGUAUAGGUGGUGUUUGAGGAUUGAGGUCACUCAUGAGGUGGGAAGAGAAUAUCGGUGGUGUUUGAGGAUUAAGGUCACUGCCAUGAGGUGGGAAGAGAGUAUAGAUGGUGUUUGAGGAUUAAGGUCACUCAUGAGGUUGGAAGAGUGUAUAGAUGAUGUUUGAGGAUUGAGGUCACCAAUGAGGUGGGAUGAGGAUAUUGACGUCACUUUCAUGACUCGUGAGGUUGGAAGGGGGUAUAUAGUUGUAUGAGUAUUGAGAUUAAUGUGACCUUACGAGGCGGGAAGAGAGUAGAGAGUAUCAGUAAGGACUGAAGUCACUGUCUUAAGCUGGUAAGAGCCUGAACAGAGAUACAGCUGUGAAAGGAGACGAAAACAAACUGUAACUAACCAACCAACCAAAAGCCCAAUGAUGUCCAUAUAACACACUUGGAAGUUAUUGUCCUACCACAGCAGAUGAACCUGUCCGUUCCCACAUUCAUUAGUGAGGACAAAGUGUGACCGUAAAGCUGCCAACCUGUAAUGAUUUGCAGCAGUGACUAUGUACAUUGAUGUUAAAGAGCUGGAUGGUCACUGGCAAUCGUGUCCUAACUAUUGCGCCACUCUGACAGGUGGCAGGUAGAAUGGAAAGACUUUGAAACAUGUAGUUUCCAGUUGCCAAUUUCUGAUCCCUGAUGCAUGAGUAUUUCAUGAAUGGAUUCUUCUUGAGUAGCCAGGACCAGACAGUGCAAGUGCAACUGUAAAUCAUUUGGAGAUGAAAGAAAAAAAAUUCCUUAGUUGAAGAUGCAGGAAGUACUUCUCUGCUGUUGACUCCAUAAUGUAAAUACGAAGAUGGAGAUAAAACCAGCAGUUGUGUCAAGGUUGCUGAUGUAAUGAGCGUACUGACCUACACUUUUAACACCAUAGCAAUAUGUUUUGAAUUGCCAGUGGUAUUAUAAUAUCAUUUUAUGGAAUUAUGAAUGCUAAUAAAUUAGUUUUGAUUGAGAAACGGAACAGUUACACAAAUGUCUGAGGCAGUUGAAGCUCUAUUUACUAUGAACCUCUCCUCCCCUGCUUGCACCACUUUUAUUCAGUAUCUUCUGACUUAUCUUACCAUAUGGGACUCUCCCUUGCUUGUCACCUUUACAUAUUAAGUCACUUUCCCAUUGUAUAGCUCUACUGAUACUUAAUGCCUUCCUUCUCUGUACCCUUUGUACAAAUUCUGUCCCCGAUCAUCCUCUACUAAUCCUACACUAGAUAAGUUUUCUACUCACCAUCUUUUACUGUUGCAUGCCUAUAUCGAGGACAUUUUUCGUUCUUGAUUCCUCACCCCAGCCCCAUCCCAUUUACUUUGCCCUAAGUUAACCUCCAUUACUGAAUUAACUCUCUUCCUUCCCUCUAUCCCCAAUUUUUCCCUUUGCCAUAUCUUUCUAACACUUCUAACCAUUUUCUGAUUAGUGUAGUAGAAGUGUUAUUUUGCUGUCUUCCCAUUUGGUUGGUUCUGUUACAUGGACAUGGAUAUCUCAACUGGAGUGUAAGAGUUUGGCUUAUCAGCAUGAAGCUUGCAGAUUGCUGGCCAGUCACACUCUAAUAUGAGGGUUUAGAUAUCUCUGUCCACAGAACAGAGCCAUAUUUGAUUAUUUUUCUCACUCACAAGUAAACAGAUUCAAUCCGUAAUAAACAUCAAUCUUCUUGAUCCAUCUACAUCUCCAAAGCCUCGGGUCUACCCUGUUUUAGGUAAUUAUCUCUUCCCUAGCAACAACCAGAUCAACCAGUGAAGUAUGUGAGGAAAGGCUUUCUGCUGAAAAUAUCUGCACAAAGCAUUGCUUAUGUUGAAAGUGUGGCAGAAAAAAGGAUGUGGUCCAGGGACAGAUAAUCAGAAAAUCACAGGAAAUUGGGCUUAGCUGAGUUGGAGAUUGCCAUGCCCUCUCCCUGGGAUUUUCAAACAUUUCUGUUUAUGGAACAUAUUUUAAUCUUGAUGCAAAGUCUGAAAACACUGCUGCUACAAAAAUGUGCUGUAUACAUUAAAUUUACCUUAUGUUGCUCUUCCUUCUGCUUCUAAAUACCUAUCCUGCCACUUGCUACAACUCUCGACACACUAACCAUCAUAGUUUAAAGAUCUUUGCAAGAGCUUGUUUUGUGCUAAAAGAAAAGACUCCUACACGGCAAAUAAUACCACAUUUCACAACAAAAAUGUAUUUUUAGAACACUAUAAAAAUAUACAAAAAAAAAAAAAAAAAUAGGAAACUGCUAAUGCAGAAGUGCUACAAAACUUGAAUACAACUUGCAAUACAGAAUUUCUCGAGGAUAUAUUUAUGGACACGUGACCCAACAGUAGGUUUUGAAUCAUACAGGGAAUCGUGCUACAUGUACAAAACUAGGAUUUUAUUACUAGUAUUUUAUGUAGAUUGGAAGGGGGUGAAGUGGGGGCAUAUUCAAGGAAACGUGUAACUGAAAGUAAACGCAUAAGGGGAAACCAAAUGAAAGUGUCGUGCUAUAUAUAGUAUAUAGCAGUUACGAUUACUGCAACAAUAUGUUAAAAAAAAAAAAAA